UUUUAGUUGUGCACCGGCUCAGAGGAUUCACAUCCAAAAGCUGAGCAUUGAACAAAGACAGAGUGGGGUUUUUAGAAGCAGCAUUCCAGAAGCAAAAGAAUAGCAGUUAAUCAUACAGUGACAGGUCACGUAAUCUAUAGCGUAAUAUAACUUGUGACCUAGCCGGUGGCCUUGUAGCUGCAUUAGAAGAAAAACAAGAACUGGCUAAAUACAGACAUUUGUAAAACAUAAUCAUGCUUAAGAAGCCUGGGAAAAGAGUAAUAGUAAAAGAACCUAUCUUUCUCUUUGUUUUUUCCUUCAACCUUGCUCUGAAAGGGAGGUGGAUGUCUGGAGCCCAUUCCUUUGGCCUUGGCUAUUCAGACAGUAUUAUCUUCUAACUGUCCUUGAAGUGAGCUGCUAGGCAGAGGCAAACUUGUUCUUUUCUUUUUAACUCUUGCCUUACCACAUUGUGGGCCUUAGCUUUUACUUUUCUUGGGGUGAACAAAUGCAGUACCUAUUAUUUUUAAACUUCUGCCUCACUUUAAGCCAAAUAACAGUGUUUGACACGUGAGUCGCACCCAAACAAGUGCUCUUCAUGAUCAUUGUUAAAGCAGCAAUAGCAACAUGUGCUUUCCUGGGACCUGCUGGCCUGUUUUCCACUGAUAUAAAGUGGAGAAGGGAUUGAAAUAGCAAAGGAGGGUGAUAUAAAUUGAAUACCUAUAUGAAAUACAAUUUUAAAUGAAAAACAGCAUUUGAUGUUGUACAACUCUAAGUGAGACUGUUAGUGCGAGAUCAUAUUUUUACUUGUAUUGACAAAAUAACCAUUCACAAUAUUCUUAUUUAGAAUAAUAUUCCAUUUCUCUUGUAUAUUUGCUAGCUUUUGAUCAAAUAUUUUGGGAACUCAAUAGAAAUUAACAAAAUGAAUCUUUAUUUUACCCCAAGAAUUACUGAUGCAUAUGCUUGUUUUUCUUAAAAUUCAUUAGCUUUUUAUGAAAGAUUUAUACUUUAUUUUCAGUGUGUUGUUUAUUGCUUAGAAGUGGCUGUCCUGCCAGAAAACUGCUAUUCUCAGCUAUACCCACAUUGACUAAUAGUGAGUGGAAAUGAAGUGGGUAAAAAGCAAAUUGUCUUCUCUGUAUCUUUUUUCACCCUUUGACUG
rnacentral:lncRNA from 1 species